GUCAUUUAUGGGGAGUUCUGGGCAUGAGUACCUUCACAGUGAUGUUCGAUUAAGGUGCCAUGGCCUUCAGUCUAGAUUCAACUAGGUUUCCUUGUGUGGGUGGAGAUUUUGGAAAUAUAUCUGAGGCUUGUGGUUGGAAACUCUCUUUUGGUGAUCUGCUGGUAUCUUGUAGUCUUCGCAAAGAUGAGAAGAUGAGACCUUCACUUCCCCUGCCAACGGAGCGAUUUUAAACUUUUGGGGCUGUGCCAACCUGAUAGGGCCAGCAGGGAGGGAGCGAGUGACGUGUCUUUUGCGGACUAGGAAAAAUACUCUGUUUGAGAGCCAGUCCCCUGAAGGAGGAUGACCCAGUUGAAGCCUUACACCUGCGCCUCUUCCCACUGACCUCCAGCACCCGGGAGGACGCUCUCCACCCGCAGAAACCGAUCAUCCUGAAGCAACCAAACUCCAUCUUGUUGGGUUCCAUUAAUGAUUCUCCAAGACCUGAAAGUCAGGAAGAAUGGACACGCUAAACCCUUCCAUGGCCCAUUUCAUCUAAAAGUAGCCAGACUGGCAUGUCUCUUAAAUGACUUUAGGGUCUAAAGUCUCAAGGGUCAUCCCGUCUAAUGACAUCUGAACAGCAGUAAGGAAGAAUGGAUUCCAUUCGUCUUAUGACAGCAGUAUUUAGAAGAGGCAGUGACAACAACGUUCUGGAAAGAAGACUGGGAAAUAGCACGAAAAGCUACAGUGUACUAUUUUGUAGAGUUUAUAUCUUGGACUCUGUAGAAUGAUUCAGAUUUCAAGUACUCUGUCUCU